rfam:Rattus norvegicus chromosome 3, whole genome shotgun sequence.
GGGGAUUUAGCUCAGUGGUAGAGCACUUGCCUAGCAAGCGCAAGGCCCUGGGUUCGGUCCCCAGCUCCU